rnacentral:tRNA from 1 species
UGAGGAAUAGCUCAAUGGUAGAGCACAUGCUUAGCAUGCAUGAUGUCCUGGAUUCAAUCCCCAGUACCUCCA